rnacentral:rRNA from 1 species
GCAGCACGGAGCUUGCUCUGGUGGCGAGUGGCGAACGGGUGAGUAAUGCGUCGGAACGUAUCCAUAAUGGGGGAUAACGCAGCGAAAGCUGUGCUAAUACCGCAUACGCCCUCCGGGGGAAAGCAGGGGAUCGUAAGACCUUGCGUUAAUGGAGCGGCCGACGUCUGAUUAGCUAGUUGGUAGGGUAAAGGCCUACCAAGGCGACGAUCAGUAGCUGGUCUGAGAGGAUGAUCAGCCACACUGGGACUGAGACACGGCCCAGACUCCUACGGGAGGCAGCAGUGGGGAAUUUUGGACAAUGGGCGCAAGCCUGAUCCAGCCAUUCCGCGUGAGUGAAGAAGGCCUUCGGGUUGUAAAGCUCUUUCAGGAGGGAAGAAACGAUUGUGGCUAAUACCCAUGAUUAAUGACGGUACCUUCAGAAGAAGCACCGGCUAACUACGUGCCAGCAGCCGCGGUAAUACGUAGGGUGCGAGCGUUAAUCGGAAUUACUGGGCGUAAAGCGUGCGCAGGCGGUUUUUCAAGUCUGAUGUGAAAUCCCCGGGCUUAACCUGGGAACUGCGUUGGAAACUGAAAGACUAGAGUGCGGCAGAGGGGGGUAGAAUUCCACGUGUAGCAGUGAAAUGCGUAGAUAUGUGGAGGAAUACCGAUGGCGAAGGCAGCCCCCUGGGUCGACACUGACGCUCAUGCACGAAAGCGUGGGUAGCAAACAGGAUUAGAUACCCUGGUAGUCCACGCCCUAAACGAUGUCAACUAGUUGUUGGGGGAGGGAGACCUCCUUAGUAACGCAGCUAACGCGUGAAGUUGACCGCCUGGGGAGUACGGUCGCAAGAUUAAAACUCAAGGAAUUGACGGGGGCCCGCACAAGCGGUGGAUUAUGUGGAUUAAUUCGAUGCAACGCGAAAAANCUUACCUACCCUU